ensembl:lncRNA
AAUGUGCUGUGACGCAUAAACGCUGAGGCAGUGGUGGUGAGGUGGUCAGAACCAAGGAAGCGCUAAUUCGGGAAGGCUUCCUAGAAGAAAAGCAUUUGAAGGGGCCCAGAGAGCUUUGAGACUGGGACUUUUCAUCCUAUCUCGGACUCCAACUGAAGCAGUUCAGGCUCUGACCCUGAGCUAAGGCUCCAAAGAAGGGGAAGGAUUCACCCCAGGUCACCCACCAAGCCAAGGGCAGGGGCAGGAUGCAAAGCCAGGUGUCCCUUGAGUCUCCACUCGUCACCUCUCUCUGCCAGAGCUGAAGGCGACUUCUAUCCAUUUCACAGGCAAGGAAACCGGAGACAGGCCCAGAGGGGGCGCAAGACGGAUUACAGGAUGAGCUUUAAAUCAGGCCUGGCAGGACACUGCGUGUAAUGGAUUCCUGUUGGCGGGAGCAGCAUUCGUGGCCCCUGUGGGUCCAGGCAGCACCCAGAGCGAUGUCACUCUGGAUCAACGACAGGUGGCAGCAAAGGACCAUGGCCAUGAAGCUCCAGGACCUUCAUCAGCAACUCAAAGGACCUGGGCUCCAGUCCUUCACCAGUCCUGCACUGCCUUGUGGACUCUGCCGUUCCUGCUCCAUCCUGCAAACUUCCUCAAAGGAUUGUCUAUAAGGGCCCGGUCAUGGGGCCACCCCAUGGCUGAGUGGUUAAGUUGCGCGCUCUGCUUCGGCGGCCCAGGGUUUCGCUGGUUCAGAUCCUGGGCAAAGACGUGGCACCGCUCAUCAGGCCACACUGAGGCAGCGUCCCACAUGCCACAACUAGAAGGACCCACAACUAAGAUACACAACUAUGUAUUGGGGGGCCUUUGGGGAGGAGAAGGAAAAAUAAAAAUAAUAAUAAUAAUAAUAAAGGACCCGGUCUUCCCACAUUGGAUCAUAUGGGGCUCCCACCUGGAGCACUUGCUAGCUACCUGGCCUACCAACCUUUCAGUAUAAGCAGGGACCAGA